rnacentral:rRNA from 1 species
GACGAACGCUGGCGGCGUGCUUAACACAUGCAAGUCGAACGGAAAGGCCCUGCUUUUGUUGGGUGCUCGAGUGGCGAACGGGUGAGUAACACGUGAGUAACCUGCCCUUGACUUUGGGAUAACUUCAGGAAACUGGGUCUAAUACCGGAUAGGAGCUCCUGCUGCAUGGUGGUGGUUGGAAAGUUUCGGCGGUUGGGUAUGGACUCGCGGCUUAUCAGCUUGUUGGUGGGGUAGUGGCUUACCAAGGCUUUGACGGGUAGCCGGCCUGAGAGGGUGACCGGCAAAAUGGGGACUGAGAUACGGCCAAGACUCCUACGGGAGGCAGCAGUGGGGAAUAUUGCAAAAUGGGCGGAAGCCGGAUGAAGCAACGCCGCGGGCGGGAUGACGGCCUUCGGGUUGUAAACCGCUUUCGCCGGGGACGAAGCGUGAGUGACGGUAAUGGGUAAAGAAGCACCGGCUAACUACGUG